rnacentral:rRNA from 1 species
AUUGAACGCUGGCGGCAGGCCUAACACAUGCAUGUCGAGCGGAUGAAGGGAGCUUGCUCCUGGAUUCAGCGGCGGACGGGUGAGUAAUGCCUAGGAAUCUGCCUGGUAGUGGGGGAUAACGUCCGGAAACGGGCGCUAAUACCGCAUACGUCCUGAGGUAGAAAGUGGGGGAUCUUCGGACCUCACGCUAUCAGAUGAGCCUAGGUCGGAUUAGCUAGUUGGUGGGGUAAAGGCCUACCAAGGCGACGAUCCGUAACUGGUCUGAGAGGAUGAGCAGUCACACUGGAACUGAGACACGGUCCAGACUCCUACGGGAGGCAGCAGUGGGGAAUAUUGGACAAUGGGCGAAAGCCUGAUCCAGCCAUGCCGCGCGUGUGAAGAAGGUCUUCGGAUUGUAAAGCACUUUAAGUUGGGAGGAAGGGCAGUAAGUUAAUACCUUGCUGUUUUGACGUUACCAACAGAAUAAGCACCGGCUAACUUCGUG